rnacentral:lncRNA from 1 species
CCCCCCAGCUGGCAACCAAAACAAAACACUCAGAUUCAAAUUUUCUAUGCCAAGGAUCAGAGGUUAUUUUGUAUUAAUUUAAACUAAAUUGUUGCAUAGUUCAGAUUUAAUCGGCACCUCCAGAUUAGGUGCUAAAGUUUGCAUGUUGGAGGCCCCACAAAGGCCCAUGUGCUAAAGGCCACCCCCAGAGUGGUGCCCCUGGGAGGGGCUGGAACCUUUAAGAGGUGUGGCCUAGUGAGGGGUACUUUGGUCACAGAGGCAAACCCCGGAACCGGAACCGGACCUGGAGUGUGCUGCCACUUCCCGUUUCUCUUCCACUUUGACUUGUCUCCAUGAGGCAAGUGCUUUUUCUCUGCCACAUACACUCACCAUGAUGUGCCACUUGCCAAAGGCAUAAAGCAGUGAGGACAACAUGGGGUAAUCAACCCUGGACUGGAACCUUGUAAACUAUGAACUGAUGUAUGUCAUUUCUCUUUAUAACACGAUUAUCUUACACAUUUGCUAUAUUUGAAGAAAGCUAAUAUGUUAACCAAUACACAUUUCUAAAGAUACUCAGAAAAGGAAUUGAGGAGGGAACCAAACUGAUACACUAUCAAAACAAAAUAAAAAACACGAAACAAUAAUGGAAGAAAUGAGGAAAAACAAUAAAGACAUAAAACGUGAGAGACAAAGGUCAGUGUAAAUAAAUAUCAAUGGAAUAAAAUUUCCAAUUCAAAGGCUGAGACUGGCGAAUAGUAACAUGAUCUGACUCUAUACUGUCAGCAGGGCAUGCCGUUUAGAGCCUAAAACACAAAUAGGUUGCAAGUGAAAGGACGGAAGGCAUACUCCACACAACCAGUACCCAGAGAUAGAUGGCAAGAACUUUAAGCCAAAAACUGCUACAAGAGACAAAAAAGGAUAUCAUAUUUAAAAGGGGGGCUAUCUGCCAGGCAUGGUAGUACACACCUGCAACCCCAGCCACUUUAGGGGGUGAAGGCAGGAGGAUCCUAAGUUAUAAUAAUAGAAUACAGCACUUACCUGGCAGUCCAAAGGCCGUGACUUCAGUCCCAAUACCACAGAUAAAGUGCAUGUGUGUAGGGAGAACUCAUCAAGAGAUAUAACAAUCAUAAGCAAAUCUGCAUCCAACCAUAGAGCUUCUAAUUACAUGAAGAAAAACUUGACAUUAUUGAAGAAGACACAAUUAAACAAUUAUAGUAGGAGAAUUCUAUACUGAAAAUUCAGAAUGAAUAUUUUAACCAGAAAGAAGAGCAAUAAGAAAAUAAAGAACUGGAAUAAAACUCUAAAGCAAUUAGACCUCAGAGAUAUCUAAUGUGCACCACUCAGGAGCCAAAAAAUAUGGAUUUUCCUCAAUUUUAUAUAAAACAUUUUCUCAGUCAGACCCACAGGUUAGGCUCAGGCUCAGAAAAUUGUGAAAGCCAGAAGUCAUAUAAAGUAACUUCUCCUCCUCCUGCUCCUCCUCCUCUACCAGACAUGCCUGCCUCUCUUCCUCCUCCUCCUCCUCCUCCAUCU